rnacentral:rRNA from 1 species
CCUACGGGUGGCUGCAGUGAGGAAUAUUGGUCAAUGGCCGGAAGGCUGAACCAGCCAAGCCGCGUGAGGGAUGAAGGCGCAGAGCGUCGCAGACCUCUUUUGCCGGGGGACAAAAGGCCGGACGCGUCCGGGUCUGAGGGUACCCGGAGAAAAAGCAUCGGCUAACUCCGUGCCAGCAGCCGCGGUAAUACGGAGGAUGCGAGCGUUAUCCGGAUUUAUUGGGUUUAAAGGGUGCGUAGGCGGGCUGUUAAGUCAGCGGUAAAAUUUCGGGGCUCAACCCCGGCCUGCCGUUGAAACUGGCGGCCUGGAGUGGGCGAGAAGUAUGCGGAAUGCGUGGUGUAGCGGUGAAAGGCAUAGAUAUCACGCAGAACUCCGAUUGCGAAGGCAGCAUACCGGCGCCCUACUGACGCUGAGGCACGAAAGCGUGGGUAUCGAACAGGAUUAGAUACCCGAGUAGUC